GGCCCAUUCGUCUAGUGGUUAGGACACGGCGUUCUCAACGCCGGAACAAGGGUUCGACUCCCUUAUGGGUCACCA
rnacentral:tRNA from 1 species